rnacentral:rRNA from 1 species
GGCCACCGGAGAGGGCGGGCCAUGAGGCUUUAGCUUUCGCUCGGGUGGUCAAAAACUUUUCCGGAGUGGACCGCAUGCACUUUACUGGGCGUGCCGGGGAACAAAAUUGUUUGCGGGAUAGUUGGUGGCCUCGUGUCGCUGUUCGUCCCGUAGACAAUCCCGCUCCGGACUUUUACUUUGAAAAAAUUAGAGUGUUCAAAGCAAGCGUUUUCGCUGUUGAAUAUCUUAGCAUGGAAUAAUAAAAUAUGACUUUGGUCGUGUUUUGUUGGUUUUAAGGGCCGAAGUA